GUAUUUUUUAUUUAUUUUUAGCCAUGAUAACUUUGAGGACCCUGAAGGUCAUUAUUCCUAGAACAGGUCACACACAGCUAGACGUCAGCAUAGCAGGGACAGAACACCACGUUUCCAAAGAGUGUCAGCUUUUUGUCUAGAACACCGCCUCCCUUCCAAUUCUCACCUGUUCCCAGGUUCUGUGAAUCCAAGGGUCAGUGUUUUCUUUUUUGUUUGUUUGUUUUGUUUUUGCCUGAUUUAUAAUUUGGUACCUCCUCAAGGAAUAAAAGGUCUACCUGUAUUUCUAGGGAGUCCAAUAAGUACAGAACUGAAAUCUUAGGGAUGGACUCAAUACGCUGAUGAAAUGUGACUGAGACAGAACUAUAAUGUAGAUAAUUAACGUGUAUCCAUACAAGCAAAUUUAUUAAAAGGGCUAAUUUCUUAUUUUUGUUUUUUAAUUCUGAUCCUGGUUACAUAGAGAAUGUAGUCAUUUUGCUUUUGCAAAAUGCAAAAGGGCCAGAGGCAAAGAGAUGAAGUUGAGCACCCCCGAUUGUUAUCUCUUAAAAUCUGUUCUUGAAAUAUUUCACUGUUCUCAAUAACAAAGUUACUCCUUCUGCCAUGAGUUGUUCCUAACCAGGCACAGGAAGAGCACAAAGCAGUGGUCGGCACUGUGGCUUCAGAAGACAUUAAGUGAGGAAAUUUGUGAUUCUCACAUCCCAGAAUUUUCUUCCAAAGAGAACUGAAAGGGAUGUUCAAAACUAACCAAUUUUAAUAAGUUAAAAAAUAAAAGAUGGCUAUAGACCUGAAUCUGUUUGCUCACCCAUGUCCACUUCUAUGUGUAGGCUCCUCAAAUGGGGACGAAAGAUACUGAAGCACAGCUGAUUCACAAUGGUGUAUUAGUUUCUGGUGUGAACAAAGUAAUUCAGAUAUAUAAUUUUUUCUUUUUUAGAUUAGUUGCCAUGAUAGGUUAUUACAAGGUAUUGCAUAUAGUAACCUGUGCUACACAGUAGGACCUUGUUGUUUAUCUAUUUUAUAUACAGUAGUGUGUAUGUGUUAAUCCCAAACUCCAAAUCCACAUGUCUCCCCUUCCGCUUUGGUAACCAUAAAUUUGUUUUCUAAAUCUGUAACUGUUUCUUUUUAUAAAUAAGUUCAUUUGUGUCCUAUUUUAGAUUCCACAGUGAUAUCUUGGUAUUUGUCUUCCUCUGAAGGACUUGCUUCACUUAAUCUCACCUAAAUUUCUAAAUGAUUCUGGAAACAAAGUUUAUUCAUUCCGUCCACAAAGGUUGCUGCUCACCCACUAGAUGUUGAGUAGCAGGGAUACAAAAGAGGAGACAGAAAAGAAUGAGCACAUCACACCUGCAGGCAGACUGCAGCAACCUCAAAAGGAAGACCUAUUAUCCAUCCACCACUUUCUGUCUCCACCUGUGUAUUUACCUAUUUCCUCCCUAUCUAACGACCGACACAUAUAUCAGACCAAACAGUAAGCAGCCCAUUCCCUGAGACCAGCAGUGUUCAAACCAAGGGAAGGCUCUAGGAGCAGCACAGGGUCUAUCUAGCCUGACAUGCCCAAGAGCCUGCAAAGCUUAGCUGGGUGAGGUCCACUGUGGCCCCUCAGGUCUUCCUCUUUUGAAUCUCUACAAGCAGACAGGUUAGGAAGUCUAAACUGUGGAUGACCAACCAUUACCCUCAGCUUGGAAGAGUGGUGUGAGGAUGCACAAAGGACUUGGCUGAGGAGGGAGUCAGGAAACUUUCCAGGAAGACAAGCCCCUUGAUGAAGAUUGAUGUACUACACAAGCACAGAGAAGACCAAUGGAGCAGACAGUGAGCUGAAGACCACUGGAGCACACAGUGAGCUGAGAGGAUGGGACAGGAAGACCACUCUGUCUCUUUCCUUUCCCUUGCUUGUCUGGCCAUCAGGAACUUCAUGGAAAGGAAAACUAAAGAGAAAUCAAGUGACUCAAGCUCUCCUAAGCAAGGUGAGCCACCCAGAGAGCUCCAAUCACAUUUAUCACUCCAGCCUGGGACCCAAUACCCUUUCUCCCCCACCUUUUCAACUUCUGCCAGGGGAUGUGGAGAUGCCUCGAGGGGGAAGUGCUUGAGCCUGGCCAGAAGGAGAACCAAGCAGCCUGUGUAACAGAAAGGCAAGGCUUCCAGUUUUGAGGACAAAUUCAGAAAAGCAUCAGAUUCCCGAGAGGAGCACCUUCCUGGGGGAAAAGCUUCCUCCAUGGAAAAGUCAAAAGAGUAGAAUCACACCACACAAAGAACACCACACCCCAGAAGAGCACAAACCAACUCUCCUCAAAUCCAAGGGCUCAAAAAACCAGUAUUUAUCUAUUUAUUUAUUUUUAUAAAGGUACAAGUUUAGUUUUAUUUUUACGGCCACACCCACGGCAUAUGGAGGUUCCCAGGCUAGGGAUUGAAUUGGAGCUACAGCCACCAGUUUACACCUCAGCCACAGCAACAUAGGAUCCAAGCCUCAUCUGCAACCUACACCACAGCUCAUGGCAACCCAUUGAACGAGGCCAGGGAUUGAACCUGCUUCCUUGUGGAUACUAGUUGGGUUCCUUUCUGCUGAGCCACGAUGGGAACUCCUGAGAAAACAGUAUUUAAAUCUUGUCCCAAGGGAAAGGUUUUAUGGAGCAUCUGCUCAUGUCUUGUCAGCACAAGUAAAAUCGAUAGACAGGACUACCCAUGGCAAAAAUGGCCCAUGUCCAACAGUAAACCCAGAAUCUCUGAAAAUGCAGCAGGCUGUCAAAGAAUCGAGGGAUUGCACUAAGGGGCCAGAAAAAAAUCAUGAUCAUGUUUUGCAGUCACAGGAUAUGGGUAACAUUGUGGUCUCUGGAAACUCUGGAAGCUAGAAAAUGUACCUAAAACAAAUUAUUGCCCUGGGACAAAGAUCUUUCCACAAAUUACCUCAAGAGUCAUCUAGUCCUUACCAACUGCAAAUGAGAAGGUACUACAGUAAAAUGAAUGGAUUCAGAAACAGCAGGUUAAUUUGCAGACAGAAUGUAGAGAAAAGAGUGUCUGGGAAAAAUCUGGAAAACAAACCUGUGUCUUAACGCCCCCGUGUUUCAUGAUAAAACGAUUCCCAUCCCCCCCCCCAAAAAAAGUUAAAAUCCUGGGGAAAAAAAUCCAGCCAAUGACCAGAACGUCACAGCCUCAGGGUAGAGACCAGACCAAGGUGUUGAGUAAGAUCCUCUAUUUAGACUUUUGAAAUGGUUAAGACAGGGUCUAGUGCAACCUCUUGGUGGGCAAAAUAACUCCAAAGAGUGGGAGGGCAUUGCUCUACCACAGCCUUACACACCCCAAAGAUGUGACUGAGUCUAAGAGGAGAGUGUAUCUCACAGAGAAAUGCUACUUCUAGUUUAGCCCCAGCAGGGGAUCAAAUUCAUAGGAGACCCUCCCAAAUACAGAUGCAGUUGUAUUGGCAAAAGUGUUACCAGUCUGGAAUAAAAGGGGCUAGGUUACAAUGUAAACUUGAGCCUCAGCACCCCCAGCUGCGUAUGGAUGGGCAGGAAGCAGCUUACAUAUUUCCUGUUCAAAGGAAAUACUGUGUUAUUGAGCAGUUAAGGAACACAUUAGAAAAGAACCUUCCAGAAGGUACAGCAGAAAACACUGGAGAACCAGAGACUAAGGAGACAGACUUAAUCUAGGAAUAUUUUCCACCCCGGCAGAAAAGCCCUGCAGUAAUUCACAGCCAUGUAAAUAAUGAGUUGGAUAGUAUAUGCUCGUAUGCACCAUUCUCCAAUUUAAACAGUUCAUGAAAAGGAAAAGAAGGAAGUUGUCACUUGUCAUAUUGACUUUUUUAGUGCUCUGUGAACUUUUAUAAACACGUGUCUGCUUUUUCAAGUAUCCGUGGUGUGAUCUGGAUGGUGAUACUAGGAAUGGUUUUCUGUUUUCUUCAUUUUAGUUCCGUAAAAUAAUCAAUAAAUUCAUGUUAUUGUUGAAAAAGCAUAACUAAUGAAAAAGAAACUUUGAUUUAGGAUCUUCUGUUGAAACACUUCAGACAAAUAUUCAAAGCGUAUGAAAAAUAGCUAUCGUAACAUUGCUUAUUUUAAGAAAGAUGACGAAACGUUUUAUUGCCCCACAGUUGAAGACAGUUUUUUUUGCAAAGAAUAUAUACACAAAUAUUCUUUGGCCGUUGAAAUGAUCUAGAUGCAUUUUAUCAUCUUUAGCCUGUGUUUCUAAGUAUCACAGCGAAUGGUUGAAAAAGAUAACCUGUUUGUGUGGGCAGCUAUAAUCCAGUUUUUGAACAUAAAUAUACAUCUACCUCCACCCAGGCAAGAGCAUGAGUGCACUCACCUCUAGCUUAAAGACACAGAGAAAUAAUCAGCUAGAUAAAAUGUCAUAGUAUUAAAAUACUCCAGAGUUAAAAACAUAUAAUUUUCAAUGCUGACCUCUGCCCAACGUUUGAAGCCAAGAGGAAUGACACCCCCUAUACAUCACGUGAAAAAACAUCUUUGUAUUUUUUUUCUCCCAAACCUACCAGGUACCACUUGCAUUCUCUAAUAUUUGUGUAUUUUCUCAACACUGCUCCCUGAUAAUCACCUUGGAGUAUUUUCAUCCUAGGCGUUCAUCACGGUAACAUCUCCGGCCCGUCCAAUGAGAAUGGUAGUCAUAUGUCUCUCCCAGGGUUAUGGGGAAUAUUUACAUGUGGUGCCACUAACAUGCCCAGAAGUCCUGGGACCACGUCAGCAGUAAGCGAAUGGUUAUACUAUGAAAAUCACUACCAUUAUUAUCCUCCUGUCGUAUCGAACAAACGUCUGCCUGUAUUUUAACUGGAAACCUUAUUUAACAUGUGUACAUUUUCUAUUGUCAUCACUGCUAUUAUCAUGUUAUCAUUAAUGCUUCCGGCUUUCCUAGCUUUAAAAUAUACUGAUUUUCAUUUCCGAAAGUUUAAUAUUAAAAAUGAGAGCAGGAACCCUUUCUUAUUGACACUACUGGAAUGUUUCUUUCAUCAUCCAGACAUACUGAGGCAUUUCGUUGAAGUUAUUUUUAUUAUUUCCAUUUCUAUUGGACCUAGAACGUUUAUCUGAAAUACUAGUUGGACUUUAUCACAUUUUUUUUUUUUGGCACUUAUUGAAACAGCAAAAGUUUUUUUGUUUUUUAACUUAGUCUAAUCAUGUGAAGAAUUCCAUUAAUACAUUUCCUAGUAUUGAAUCAUUCUAAUAUUCCUAACAUAGAUGUUAUUUCAUCAUGGGUUAUUACUUCUUAAUAUAUUGCUGGUUUAAGUGUUCCCUUAAAAAAAAGAGUGUGCAUUAAUAUUUAUAUAAUUGAGACGACACAUAUAUAUGCAUAUAAUGUGCUGACUUUCUGAUCACUGUCAGAUUUUAAUAUCAGAGUUAAUCUACCUUUAUAAGAUUUAAUACAACUACUCCUCAUUUUUAUAUGGCCUUGGUCAGUUUUAGUACCAUGGGGAUUCGUUGUUCCUUUAAAGUUCAACAGCACAGAAAUUUCGCCUUCCUUAUAUUAUACGGUAAAAUGACCUAUGAAAUAAACUUCAUCUGCCAGUUUGUAAGUGAAUAGAGGGCACAGUGUCUUUGACAACUUUUUUCACCUGGGAACAGGGCUCUCUGUCUGCUUAAAAUUUCACCAGGAAAAAGAUGCGCCUUACGCUCAUCUAUAAAUACUUCAUUUUUCGCUAUACAUCCCAAUUUCAUAUUCUUAUCACCCUUUGUAUUUCUCUCCCCCUCCUGCUUCCCUCUGUCU
rnacentral:lncRNA from 1 species